rnacentral:rRNA from 1 species
AGGGUUUGAUCAUGGCUCAGAGCGAACGUUAGCGGCGCGCCUAACACAUGCAAGUCGAACGCGAAAGGGGUUCGCCCCCGGUAGCGUGGCGCACGGGUGAGUAACGCGUGGGUGACCUUCCCGGUUAUGGGGGAUAACCUUCCGAAAGGAGGGCUAAUACCGCAUACGUCCGAGGCCCUUCGGGGUUUUGGGGAAAGCAGGCCUCUGUACACAAGCUUGCGUAACCGGAUGGGCCCGCGUCCCAUCAGCUAGUUGGUGCGGUGACGGCGCACCAAGGCGACGACGGGUAGCUGGUCUGAGAGGAUGGCCAGCCACACUGGAACUGAGACACGGUCCAGACUCCUACGGGAGGCAGCAGUGGGGAAUCUUGCGCAAUGGGGGAAACCCUGACGCAGCGACGCCGCGUGGGCGACGAAGGCCUUCGGGUUGUAAAGCCCUGUGGGGCGGGACGAACUCGUAUCGGGGUAACAUCCCGGUGCGUUGACGGUACCGCCUUAGCAAGCACCGGCUAACUCUGUGCCAGCAGCCGCGGUAAGACAGAGGGUGCAAACGUUGCUCGGAUUGACUGGGCGUAAAGCGCGUGUAGGUGGUCACGCCAGUCUGAUGUGAAAGCCCCGGGCUCAACCCGGGAAGUGCAUCGGAUACUACGUGGCUUGAGUUCUGUAGAGGAGAGCGGAAUUCCCGGUGUAGAGGUGAAAUUCGUAGAUAUCGGGAGGAACACCAGUGGCGAAGGCGGCUCUCUGGACAGGUACUGACACUGAGACGCGAAAGCGUGGGUAGCAAACAGGAUUAGAUACCCUGGUAGUCCACGCUGUAAACGAUGAGUGCUGGGUGUCGCGGGUAUUGACCCCCGCGGUGCCGAAGCCAACGCGUUAAGCACUCCGCCUGGGAAGUACGGCCGCAAGGCUAAAACUCAAAGGAAUUGACGGGGGCCCGCACAAGCGGUG